GUUGAGUUCCGCUGUUGUCGCCACUCUGCUUUCCAUCACUUUCCAUUCCAAGACGAGUUGGCUUCGAAGAAGGUUCUAUUGUGGUGUUAACAUUUUUUCAAAAACAACGUUGUAGAAAUGUCUGAAUAUUACAUCAAUUGUCAUCGAAUAAACACAAAAAAGAGGCAGAUUUUCAAUUCUGCAUUUCGAAGAUAAUUAUGAAGAAGAUGUCGGCAGGGAUGAGCGGCAGUGAUUUCUCCAACAAGAUGGCGCACCACCACACUAUGUCGUUCCUGUUCGAGCUUGUUUCAAUCAAUUAUUUCUCAAUCGAUGGAUUGUGGGAGAAGAGGGCCAAUUGAGGUGCCUAUAAUAUCACCAGAUUUUCGCCAGACUUCUUCCUUUAGGGAUAUCUGAAGAGUAAACUUUCAUCAUUGGACCUAAUUUGGAUGAACAACAAAUCAGAAUACCAGAAGUUCAGCAAAUAAUUUUUGAUAUCUUCAUCAAUCGUUUAGGAGCUGCCCAAGGUGAUGCCAACCCUCUAAAAGUACAGAUAGUAUCGAUUUGUCUCAGUUGUGCACAAGUUAACCAUGCAUUGAAAUAAUAAACCACCUUCAAGAAAGAUGUUUUAAUUAACACUAUAAUGACACCAACUAUGGUUUUGCUGUAGUCUAACUUUUGAAGACAAUUCCUCAGUUUAACAGGUAAUAGUUUAAUUUUAACAAGAUAAAGUAAUAAUCUUUUAUGAGUUUAUGUUAGUCAGGCGGCGAUGUGGAUUUUCGGUAUGCUGGAGUUGGGGGUAGAGUAAUUUAUAUUAUUGUAUAUAUUCUGCAUGUCUUUUAGGUUGUAACCAUAAUUAAAUCCCGUUUUGAGUAUUUAGCAAAAAUCAAGGCAAUGUGUGCUAUUGUUGUUUUAUCACCACGAUAUGUAUUUUAUUAAAUAACACGUAGAUUCUUU